AAAACUAAACGUCAUCGUUGCCGCCAAAAGUGACGGCACGAGGAAAAUUUUCACUUCUGUUAGCCAUUUUCGUAUCGAGUUGCGUACUGCGUAGAAGCAGAAAGUUUGUAUUUGUACUGAAAACUAAAUGUUUGAAGUGUUCCGUUUUGCUAAAUAUUGUUGAUUUUUGGAAUCAGGAGCGUAGGAUCAUUAUCAGGCAAAAACGCUGAUAUUGGAUUGACCAUCUCUGUUGAACAGAGCGCUAAAAGUAGCAAAUCGGACUCUUUGCUCUCGAUACGAGGUUGAACUGAGUUGUAUUAGGGCCGGAAUAGCUAGGGUCACUGAUUUGUAAGUUCUAACCUAUAAAACCAUUUUGAACCAUGUUUGUAACAACUUAUCAUUUGUUCC